rnacentral:lncRNA from 1 species
GAAAGAGCUUGGAAAGAAGAGGUGCUGCAGUUAGUCCACAGCCCGGUCCUGCAAUAGGCGUGAUGGGAGGCUUCAUUCAGGAGCUGUCAGGGUCCACGUGAGAGUGCAUGCUACAUUAAGAUAAAGAAGUGGAGCCAACAUGUCCAGCAAAAGAAGAGAGGUGCUUGAAGGAAUAACACACGGCCCAACAGAAAUUGGUGGUCCAGCAUUUAAGCUAGAAGCUGUCACGGUCCAAACCUAGCUCCUUCAUCAUGGGUUGCACAUUAUUUAGCACACAGC